rnacentral:rRNA from 1 species
CCUACGGGAGGCUGCAGUGGGGAAUUUUCCGCAAUGGGCGAAAGCCUGACGGAGCGACGCCGCGUGGAGGAUGACGUAUUUCGGUAUGUAAACUCCUGUCAGGGGGGACGAUAAUGACGGUACCCCCAAAGGAAGCAUCGGCUAACUACGUGCCAGCAGCCGCGGUAAGACGUAGGAUGCAAGCGUUGUUCGGAUUUAUUGGGCGUAAAGCGAGCGUAGGUGGCUAGUUAAGUCUGGUGUUAAAGCUAGGGGCUCAACCCCUGUGUUGCACUGGAAACUGGCUGGCUUGAGGAUGGUAGGGGAAGGUGGAAUUCCGAGUGUAGCGGUGAAAUGCGUAGAUAUUCGGAGGAACACCGGUGGCGAAAGCGACCUUCUGGGCCAUUUCUGACACUGAGGCUCGAAAGCUUGGGGAGCAAACGGGAUUAGAUACCCUAGUAGUC